ACAGCCAUACCACCCUGAACACGCCCGAUCUCAUCUGAUCUCGGAAGCUAAGCAGGGUCGGGCCUGGUUAGUACUUGAUGGGAGACUAUUACUCAUUCUGUU
rnacentral:rRNA from 1 species